rnacentral:rRNA from 1 species
AUUGAACGCUGGCGGCAGGCCUAACACAUGCAAGUCGAACGGUAACAGGAAGAAGCUUGCUUCUUUGCUGACGAGUGGCGGACGGGUGAGUAAUGUCUGGGAAACUGCCUGAUGGCGGGGGAUAACUACUGGUAACGGUAGCUAAUACCGCAUAACGUCGCAAGACCAAAGAGGGGGACCUUCGGGCCUCUUGCCAUCGGAUGUGCCCGGAUGGGAUUAGCUAGUAGGUGGGGUAACGGCUCACCUAGGCGACGAUCCCUAGCUGGUCUGAGAGGAUGACCAGCCACACUGGAACUGAGACACGGUCCAGACUCCUACGGGAGGCAGCAGUGGGGAAUAUUGCACAAUGGGCGCAAGCCUGAUGCAGCCAUGCCGCGUGUAUGAAGAAGGCCUUCGGGUUGUAAAGUACUUUCAGCGGGGAAGAAAGGAGUAAAGUUAAUACCUUUGCUCAUUGACGUUACCCGCAGAAGAAGCACCGGCUAACUCCGUG